GAUGAAGAACGUAGCGAAAUGCGAUAAGUAAUGUGAAUUGCAGAAUUCAGUGAAUCAUCGAAUCUUUGAACGCACAUUGCGCCCGCCAGUAUUCUGGUGGGCAUGCCUGUCUGAGCGUCAUUUCAACCCUCAUGCCCCUAGGGCGUGGUGUUGGGGAUCGGCCAAAGCCCGCGAGGGACGGCCGGCCCCUAAAUCUAGUGGCGGACCCGUCGUGGCCUCCUCUGCGAAGUAGUGAUAUUCCGCAUCGGAGAGCGAUGAGCCCCUGCCGUUAAACCCCCAACUUUCCAAGGUUGACCUCAGAUCAGGUAGGAAUACCCGCUGAACUUAAGCAUAUCAAUAAGCGGAGGA
rnacentral:misc_RNA from 1 species